GAAAGCCNGGCUAAUACCGCAUANNNNUAUGGGGCAAAGCAGGGGAUCUUCGGACCUUGCGCUAUUGGAUGAGCCUGCGUCGGAUUAGCUAGUUGGUAGGGUAAAGGCCUACCAAGGCGACGAUCCGUAGCUGGUCUGAGAGGAUGAUCAGCCACACUGGGACUGAGACACGGCCCNGACUCCUACGGGAGGCAGCAGUGGGGAAUAUUGGACAAUGGGGGAAACCCUGAUCCAGCNAUGCCGCGUGUGUGAAGAAGGCCUUCGGGUUGUAAAGCNCUUUCAGUAGGGAAGAAAAAAGCCUNGCUAAUAUCCAGGCUUCUUGACGGUACCUAAAGAAGAAGCACCGGCUAACUCUGNGCCAGCAGCCGCGGUAAUACAGAGGGUGCAAGCGUUAANCGGAAUUACUGGGCGUAAAGCGUGCGUAGGUGGUUCGGUAAGUCAGAUGUGAAACGCCUGGGCUUAACCUGGGAAUUGCGUUUGAUACUGUCGGACKAGAGUUUGGUAGAGGGAAGUGGAAUUCCACGUGUAGCGGUGAAAUGCGUAGAUAUGUGGAGGAACACCAGUGGCGAAGGCGGCUUCCUGGACUAAAACUGACACUGAGGCACGAAAGCGUGGGGAGCAAACAGGAUUAGAUACCCUGGUAGUCCACGCCGUAAACGAUGGGUACUAGACGUUGGGAGGUUUAACCUUCUAGUGUCGCACGUAACGCAAUAAGUWCCGCCKKGGGAGUACGGCC
rnacentral:rRNA from 1 species